UUAUGCGCCAUGGAUGAGCCCGCACUUGAUUAGUUUGUUGGUAGGGUAAUGGCCUACCAAGACUUUGAUCAAUAGCUGAUCUGAGAGGAUGAUCAGCCACAUUGGGACUGAGACACGGCCCAAACUCCUACGGGAGGCAGCAGUAGGGAAUAUUGCACAAUGGAGGAAACUCUGAUGCAGCGAUGCCGCGUGAGUGAAGAAGGCCCUUGGGUUGUAAAGCUCUUUCGUCGGGGAAGAAAAUGACUGUACCCGAAUAAGAAGGUCCGGCUAACUUCGUGCCAGCAGCCGCGGUAAUACGAAGGGACCUAGCGUAGUUCGGAAUUACUGGGCUUAAAGAGUUCGUAGGUGGUUAAAAAAGUUGGUGGUGAAAUCCCAGAGCUUAACUCUGGAACUGCCAUCAAAACUUUUUAGCUAGAGUAUGAUAGAGGAAAGCAGAAUUUCUAGUGUAGAGGUGAAAUUCGUAGAUAUUAGAAAGAAUACCAAUUGCGAAGGCAGCUUUCUGGAUCAUUACUGACGCUGAGGAACGAAAGCAUGGGUAGCGAAGAGGAUUAGAUACCCUCGUAGUCCAUGCCGUAAACGAUGUGUGUUAGACGUUGGAAAUUUAUUUUCAGUGUCGCAGCGAAAGCAUUAAACACACCGCCUGGGGAGUACGACCGCAAGGUUAAAACUCAAAUGAAUUGACGGGGACCCGCACAAGUAGUGGAGCAUGUGGUUUAAUUCGAAGAUACGCGCAGAACCUUACCAACACUUGACAUGUUCGUCGCGACUCUAAGAGAUUAGAGUUUUCGGUUCGGCCGGACGAAACACACGUGCUGCAUGGCUGUCGUCAGCUCGUGUCGUGAGAUGUUGGGUUAAGUCCCGCAACGAGCGCAACCCUCACUUUUAGUUGCCAUCAUUUAGUUGGGCACUCUGAAAGAACUGCCAGUGAUAAGCUG
rnacentral:rRNA from 1 species